rnacentral:rRNA from 1 species
UACGAAGGGGGCUAGCGUUGCUCGGAAUCACUGGGCGUAAAGGGUGCGUAGGCGGGUCUUUAAGUCAGGGGUGAAAUCCUGGAGCUCAACUCCAGAACUGCCUUUGAUACUGAAGAUCUUGAGUUCGGGAGAGGUGAGUGGAACUGCGAGUGUAGAGGUGAAAUUCGUAGAUAGUCAAAGCGGACACCGGAGGCGAGGCGGCCU